CCUACGGGUGGCAGCAGUGAGGAAUAUUGGUCAAUGGGCGGAAGCCUGAACCAGCCAAGUCGCGUGAGGGAAUAAGGCCCUACGGGUCGUAAACCUCUUUUGCCGGGGAGCAAGGGCCGGGACGAGUCCCGGUCCGGAGAGUACCCGGAGAAAAAGCAUCGGCUAACUCCGUGCCAGCAGCCGCGGUAAUACGGGGGAUGCGAGCGUUAUCCGGAUUGAUUGGGUUUAAGGGGUGCGUAGGCGAGCUUUUAAGUCAGCGGUAAAAAUGCGGGGCUCAACCCCGUCCGGCAUGUGAAACUGGGUGACUUGAGUGGGCGAGAAGAAGGCGGAAUGCGUGGUGUAGCGGUGAAAUGCAUAGAUAUCACGCAGAACCCCGAUUGCGAAGGCAGCCUUCCGGCGCCCUACUGACGCUGAGGCACGAAAGUGCGGGGAUCGAACAGGAUUAGAUACCCCGGUAGUC
rnacentral:rRNA from 1 species